rnacentral:lncRNA from 1 species
CUGGAAUUAUUUAGAUAGAUUUUCCAUUGUUGACAGAGUCUAGCUUUUCUGGAAUGAACUGUACAUGGUAGUGGUAUAUUAUUCUUUCAUGCUAAAUUGUAAUUCUGGAUUCUGUAUAUGCUUAAAUUGGAAUGGUAUUUUAUGCAUCCAUUUUUAUAGAUGAGAUUAUUAGCCCUUAACAUUUUAAAAGGUAUGUGGAAAUCUUAGUAUUAAUUUUUAGAGAUAGGGUCUUACCCUGUAACCUGGAACUCCUGGGCUCAACUGAUCUUCCCAUCUCGGCAUUCCAAGUAGCUGGGAUUACAGGUAUGCCCUACCACACCUGGCUGGUUUUUUAAAAAAAUUUUUGUGGAGAUGAGUGUCUUGCUAUAUUGCCCAGGCUGGUCUUGAGCUCCUGGGCUCAAACGAUUUUCCCACCUCAGCUUCCCAAAGUGCUGGCAUUACAGGUGUUGUAUAAUACAUUUCUUUUAAGAGGUGAUUUUAUCCCAUUUUCACAUUCUUUACUUGGGGAAGAAAACCACAUGGCAAACAUAUUUUAUAAACCCAUUGUCUUCCAGACUUGUUUCUUGUCCUCUAUGUUCUAUAAGCUAUUGUUCUUGAGUCUUGCCAGUGUAUAAGGUGACAGGUUUUGUUUCCAUGGUGCUAUGUUGUAAGUUCAGUGUUUAUGUUUUUCUGUGCAUAUCACAUAAAGAUCCUUUUUUAAAAAAAGUUUAGUGUUUCAUUACUUGCAUUUUUCUUUAGAUGUGGCGCUGCAAAGUGAGUCAGUAACCUUUGUUGAGUUUCGAAAAAAUAAUGACCUGUUACAGUGUUUUGUUCUCGUUUGUUAUUGUUUGGAAAAAGAGUCCAAAAUAAUUUUAUUAAAGUCACAUUACUCUGUAGAUAGACAUAGGCCAUAUUUUUGAGAAUUCACAUUAAUAACAAUUUUGUAUAUGCAAUACUCUUUUUUUUUUUUUUUUGGGAGACAGGGUCUUACUCUGUCAUCUGCAGUCUCAGCUCACUGCAACCUCUGCCUCUGGGGUUCAGUGGAUUCUUGUGCUUCGCUUUCUCAAGUAGCUGGGAUUACAGGCGUCCGCCACCACACCCGGCUAAUGUUUUUGCAAUUUUAGUAGAGAUAGGGUUUCACCAUGUUGGCCAGGCUGGUUUCAAACUCCUGGUCUCAAGUGAUCCGCCUGCCUUGGCCUUCCAAAAUGCUGAGAUUAUAGGCAUGAGCCACCGCGCUCGACCUGUUCCUAAUUUUUUUUUCAAAUUUUGAAAUGCAGAUAAUAUUAUGUACCCCAUUAGCUUAUGGGGUACGUAAAGGAAAUUUGUAUUUGAUAUUGGCUCUGGUUAUUACUUUUGUCCUUCCAUGGACAAUCACUUAAAACCUUUAAUGCAUGAAGCUGUAUUUUAGAAAGCUAUUUUGGUACUAGUCUCAAAGGAUAGAUUGCUCUAUCUUUCCCACCCUAAUGAAACUAGGUCACUGGCAUUUGGCACAUCUCCAUGAUGUGAGAUUUGAUGUUCAGAUGUGCUGUCUAGAAAUGAUAAUGCAUUGUCAGCAAGACCACUUUUCAUUUCAUCAACAUAAUUUCCACUGCCCUGGAAUCAAUUUAUUCCUUGACCUGUUAAUAAUUACACUUGAUCACUAGCAUUUCAGUGGCAGAGAAAGCCUCUGGAAAUGGCCAUAGUCAUCCUUUUGGGUGAUAAGUUAUGGGAUUUCUGUUCGGCUUGGAGAUUUGGCCUGUUGAAGUGGUUGACAUUUUAUGAAAACAAAGGAGCAAACUUUUACCUGAUGCCGUGUUAAGAUUCACUCUGUCAAGUGGUUGAGAACACUUAUUUAAUUAUCUAACUGUACUUUUGCAUUACCUUUUUUUAUGGCCAACUUUAAACAUGCCUAGGGAAGUUCCCGUUCUAUUCCCAGCCAGAAGCAAGUGUUUGAAAAAUGAGAAAUCACCAUAGAGCUCCUCUAAGAUUAAUUUUUCACAGGUCCAAGAAUGCCUAAUAUUUAAAAUGAGCUACUUUGAAAUCAGUCAUGUAUCACAUCAGUGUUUCAAAAAGAGAUUGAGAAAAUAUGGGCUGUUACAAAACCACUAACCUCACCUGUUGCUCCGUGGUGAUUUGGAGCCCUGGAGCAGGGCUGCCUGGAUCUGAAACUUUGCUCUGUGGCCUUUUGGGAAAGUGACUUGCCUCUCUGUGUUUCUGUCCUAAUCCUUAAGUGCAAGAGUGGUCAUGCAUAUUUUAUAGUGGCAUUGGGAGGAUGACAGGAAUGAAUACAUGUAGAAGGCUUUGAAAGGGUUCUGGUAGAUCACCACCCAGUGUGUGUUGUACUAGUCAUCAUUGUUACUGUAACUUAAUGUGUUUUAGUGUUAAUGGAUGUCCUUUUUUCUCUUUUGCUAUCCCAGCCCCUUCCUUGCCUAAUUGUUACUCUCUUCUGUGUGGUUAGGAGCAACUAGUUCAGUUUAAUUUCCCUUAGAGAGCAAGUUUCAGAUAUAGCAUCAUUUUGAACUACUAAGGAAGUUUAAUUCUCCUAGGAUUGGUCAUAUAGCCUUCUUUAGCAAAAUUGAACAGGAACCUUAGGUGAAGCUUGGUUAGCCAGGUUUAUGGAUCUGGGGCCUUUUCUAUGCUUUAAUUUUAUAUAUUUGACUGUUUAGUAGAUGUUUAUCUUCCUUAUCUGAAGUUCACUUUCAUCUUGUUGUUGUUAACCUACAUAAAGAUUUAUUUAAUGUGGAUUAAGUCCUCUGUUAUUUAGAAAUAUAAAUUGAGUUGCCAAUCUGAUAUUUACUUUCUCAAUUUUUAUACACUUGACUUUGCAGUUAUACAUUUUUUGCUAAUUAUUCAUAAGGCUUACAACUACUACUAGUAAUUCAACAGAAAAUAAGUACUGUAUUGUAAAAUCCUAAAGGAUUUGAGUUUUUAAUUCAAGUAUAUUAAGAACACAUCCUUAGGUAUUGAAAUAAGAACCUUAUAACAUCCUGUCAUCUUCCAGUUUGCAGUUUCACCUCUUUGCUAGUGCUGAUGAGGUCAUUGAUGUGUCAUCAUAACACUCUGAGUGCCAGUAGGGAAGGAACUGUUUCAUUUGAUUGACUACUGUAUUAACAGUAUCUAGCCCAUUGCUCAUUACAUGAUAGGUGCUUAGUAAAUAUUUGUUAAAUGAAAUAAAAUGAUUUUCUCUAUAUUUUGUAUUUUCUAGGAUUUUUAGGAGGCAUACCCAGAAAAUAGGCUUAUAUAUUUUUUUUGGAUUUGUUUCUGCUAAUAAUCAGUAUGCUUUGCACGUUUGUAUUCUGUUUCCAUUUCUUUUGUUGCUGUAGUUUGCUUUUCAAUAGGCACAGUUUCAGUACCUGUUUCCCUGCCCUACAUAACACCUUGAGAGAGACCUUCUCUUGUGUGCCCGUUAUUUUUAAUCCUUAGACUCAAAAGAACAGAUUGUCUUUCUUAAAUUCAAAUAUACCUGGUCAGCCCUUUUCCACCUCUGAGAAGAGAGAAAAGAAAGUAUAUUAAGAUUCUGGAAUUAUUUGUGUUUUAUGGCUGUGCAGAAUUAAAGUGGCAAAAAUUGUUCGUCAAAGAGCUCAGAUCCUUUUAAGAUGCAAACCACUGAAUUUGUUUGUCAGUGAUUGCUCUGGAACUGGAGGUAUCCCCCUGCCAAUGCCUGGUUUGGGGGCCACUGUGUAAUUAUUUUUUACUGAUUUGCCUCAUGAAUGUACACAUAUGCAUGUUAUUUUUGAUGCCUUAAAAACAUCUGUUAUAAAGACAGAGGGUUUUAAAUACUUCAAUUUGGUACCUUUAUUUUGAGCGACCUUAAAUAAAUGUAACAUUUUCAAUGCCA